rnacentral:lncRNA from 1 species
GCAGUUUGAGAAAGGAAGAGGGUGUGGAGGGCUUGGAAGGACCAGCAGUUUCCCAGGAAGUCGGAGAUGGUUGGGUGUGUGACAACUGCUGUGGUGAGAUCAGCUACAGGACUGGGCUGAUGGGCGAGCUGGUGGCCUCAAAAGACUUCCCAGAUGUCUACCUUGAAGAGUGGGUGACAGAACUCCUCCAGUGGUGCUGGAGGAGUUUCAGAUAAGACAUUAAGAGAAGGCGCCAGGCAGACCUUGUAACGGCCUUCCAGAACCUGAAGGCUGGGGAGGGACUUUCCAUAAGGGCGUGUGGCGACAAAGACAAGGGGAAAUGGCUUUAAACUGGAAGUGGGUAGAUUUAGGCUAGAUAGUAGAAAGAGAUUUGUUACUGUGUGGAUGGUGAGAUACUGGCACAGGCUGCCCUGAGGGGUUGUGGAUGGCACCCAUGUCAUACUGUGGGCAAAGUUUGCAGUCAACAGAGGGGAUGGGUAGGGCCAUCCAUUUGGCAUGGGGACAGGUUGGAUGAGGACCCUGUCCUGAAGUGAGGUGGGGGCAUCCCUCCAACAUGGAGGUGAGAUGGCUCUCCGGCAUGCAAUGGGGAUGUCCCUGUGGAGACGAGGGGGCAAGCUCAAUCUCUUCACCUACAGCCAGGCGUGACCACCUCAAGGCAAACAUCAGCUGCCCUCUGCGAGGAUCCCGCUGGUGGCUUGUCCCCUCUGUCCUUGGUUGGGUGGCUCUGGCCCCCAGCAUCCUGGGAUGUCUGAGGUGCUGGACCCGCUCUGGGACUUCAGUGCCAACCAGGAGUGCCCUCCCUGUUCCCACGUGUCCCCCACACUGCCCUUCUCCCUCACCCGCUCCUCCCUGAACCAGUGAACACUCCAGGACCGCUACCCAAACUGUACUGGAAGAAGGGUUGAGGGCACCCUUUGGCGGUUAUGCCUCCCCAGUGCUCAAAGUAGCACCGCUCCCAGUGCUCCCAGUGUACUCCAUUGUCACCAGUACUCCUUAGUAACCCCCACAGUCCUCAGUGCCCCCAGCCACCCCUCC